UACGUAGGGGGCGAGCGUUAUCCGGAAUUAUUGGGCGUAAAGAGUGCGUAGGUGGCCAUGUAAGCGCGGGGUGAAAGGCAAUAGCUUAACUAUUGUAAGCCUUGCGAACUGUGUGGCUUGAGUGCAGGAGAGGAAAGUGGAAUUCCUAGUGUAGCGGUGAAAUGCGUAGAUAUUAGGAGGAACACCAGUGGCGAAGGCGACUUUCUGGACUGUAACUGACACUGAGGCACGAAAGCGUGGGGAGC
rnacentral:rRNA from 1 species